AGACUCAGCUGCUCUCCCCGGGAGCUGGGGAGCCGGGGGCGGGCAGCCGCGUCUGUCCUGCCCCUCCUCGCCCCCUCCCCCGCAGCCUGAGGAGGGCGUUAAGCAAGGGGCUUCGGAGAAAUUAGAACCAGCGUUCUAAAUUAAGGGGAGCAGAUGUCCUUGUUUUGCUCGCGAGGCCUGGGUGGCCUGCUGUUCAGACAGAAAUCGUUGAGGCGCUGACCUUCCGGGACUGCUGUCAAUCUCCGCGUGCAGAUGGCCAGCCCGGAGCCUCGCCGCUCCCCUGCAUUGGAAAUGCGGCAGCCGGGGGUGCCGGCAGCUUGAGAGAAAAGUCUGCGUGGAGGGGGGGUGGGGGGGAUGAGGGGAGGCCCGGGGAGACAGAGGGCAGGAGAAAAAGGCCGGCCCCGCUCACAAUGGAGCCCCUGUGGCGGCCCCUCCGAGACAAUGCGGUCCCCCGGGACCCGCGGUGGGUUGCGCCAGGCCAGUCCGCGCUCCAGCUGCCUCUUCAGAACAAGGCAGUGCAAAUGUGCCCACUUGAUUCUAAAUCCUCUUAGGCGCUGUCCAUGUGAACAAGGAAAGGGGUGGCCCUACGAUCCUUUACAAUCGGAGGCCUGGGGAGGCCUGGGAGCCCUGGAGCUCCGGAAAAUGUCUGCACCACGCAUGCAAAUGGGUCAUUUCGCUUGGAGAGAGGCAUCUGGCGACAUCGGCAGAAAGGCUCUCUGCCCGGUAGACGGUGAACAAAACCCACAAAACCAGCCAGCCAACAGCGUGCACUAAACACCCCUCUCUGGCCCUUCAAUGCCACCCGGAGUCCUGAAACAUUUUCAGGUUGUUUCCCCUGGAGAGACGUCCCAUGAAAUGUUCAGAAAAGCCAGCUGAGCUGUGCAAAGUCAUUAGUCACCCAGGUCAUUUAUGCCACACUCAGUUAUGAAGCCUAGGAAAGAAGAAAAAAGACCUACUAUGUGCUAGUUCAUGUGCUUGCAAUGUAUCCUCACAGAGACCCUCUGAGUGGGUUCUAUGGUUUUUCCCCUUUUAUAGGCUCAAAGGUUAAUUCAUCCAUUCAAGGCCACACAGCUAAUAGCGUAUCCUGUGGCAUACAGUUUUUAUUCAAGGCUGGCUUGUAUAUAUCAUAUUUAUACAGCGACAAGAACUUUUGAAAUACAAGUUAAGAACUUUAAGGAGAAAAAAACGUUCUUAUUGGAAGCAAAUGAAACAGAAAUUCCAAGUUAAAGCCAAAAGUCAUCCUGAACAUGCUUUUAUUCCAAUGGUAUUACUUAACAGCAAAGUGUUAUAUUACCCUUGAAUUUCCUGCCUAAGCUAAGGGUAGGCCAGGCCCUUGAUGCUGCUUAAAUUGUUCCAUGUAUCCCAACUAUAUCACAAGCAAUGCCAUCACACUUGACUUGUGCCUGAUCUCCAACUUGUCAGUUAGUCAAGAAGGAGGAAAGAAUCUGUUUCCCGUGCACACACUGUAAUUUUUUUUUCCAGUGUUGCUAAGCCUGCCAGAACAAAAGUAAAACCACAAAACAAGAUUUAGAUCAGUGUCUUGAUCACCCUGUUGCUAUUUUACAGUUUUAGGAGGGUUGGACAUCAAACACUUGAAACUGUCAUCUACAUAUUCCUUCUCAGAAUAAGGAAGCACUGGCAUGUACCCCUGCUAAAUUAUUCUCUACCCCCAAAUGUUGGAAACUUUCUCUCCAGGAAAAUGCUCUACAGAAGGCACGUUGAAUUAAUGGAGUUAGUUCUGAGAAAGGUUCUUACUGUCUAAGAUGAACUGUCAUAUGCUGACUUCCGGCCAGGUGGACUCGACGCCUUAGCAGGAAUGUUGCUUAGACAUUUAGCUUUUUCUAAUUUGUUUGCUAUUAUAAACAGUGCUUGAGAAACCUAAAGUACACCCCCACCUAAAAUUACUAUCACGUCGAUUUGUUUAUCUUCUUUAUAAUUGCUUAUCCCAACUGAAUGUUUCAUAGCUUGCAUGCUUGUUUAUGUUCUACUUUCUUUCUCGGGAUCAUGACUUGGGCAUGACACAAGUUACCUCUUCUAUCUUGUUUAUUACCACGUAGUAAGGACUCAGGAAAUAUUUUUGAAUGAAUGAGUAUAUCUUUCAUGCACAUGUAUUUUACUGUUGUACAAUUAUCUUCUUAAGAUAAAUCUUUUGAGUAGUCAAAUUCAUAGACACAGAAAGUAGGAUGGUGGUUGACAGGGGCUAGGGUGGUGGGGGGAGUGAGAAAUUAGUGUUUGAUUAUUUACUUUUAUUUUAUUACUAUUAUUACUUUUGAGAGAGGGUCUCACUGUUGUCCAAGCUGGAAUACAAUGGCGUGAUCAUGGUUUACUGCAACCUCAAACUCCUGGACUCAAGCAGUCCUCCUGCCUCAGCCUCCCAAGUAGCUGGAACUAUAGAUGCACAUCACCACACCCAGCUAAUUUUUUUUAAAUUAUUUUUUGUAGAGACAGGUCUCACUAUGUUGCCCAGGCUGGUCUCAAGGGAUCCCCUGCCUUUGCCUCCCAAAGUACUGGGAUCACAGGCAUGAACCACUGCACCUGGCUGAGAGUUAGUGUUUAAUAGGUGCAAAGCUUCAGUUGGGGAAGAUUAAAAAAAAGUUCUGGAGAUGGACGGUGGUGAUGAUUGCACAACGUGAAUCUACUUCAUGCCACUGGGCUGCACACUUACAAAUGGUUACAAUGUUAGUUGCCUCACAGCCUGAACAAGUAAAAUGGAAGCUGUAAUUAACCUUAAAAAUAUAUAUGUGUCUGAGAUAUAAUUGUAUAUAAGUAUAUGUAUACAGACAUGUAAACUAUUUGUUAAAAAAGAAACUAGAACAAAAAUAUUUUACAUUUACCUGGAAAAUGGUUAAAAUGGUAAAUGUUAUAGUAUGUAUAUUUUACUACAAUAAAAAUGAAUAAAUUUGUUGAAUUGCCAUUCUUGGGCUAAGGGUAAGUGUGCAUAUUUUAAGCUGUGGUAUAUAUUUUGAGACUGCCCUUCAGAAGAAUGAUGCCAAUUUACAUAAAAAACAACUAUAAGGGCAUGAGAAUACCCAUUUCAAUGGUAGGUUUUCUCAGUCUCUUUAUUCUUUGUAUUUGAUAGGCAAAGACAAAGACACACACACAGACACAUACACACACACUUUACUGUUUUAUUAUUUUAUGUGUGAAUAUUAAUAUAGUUGAAACUUAAGAUUGAAUAUUGUUUUAUAUGUUUGGCAUUUCUUCUUUUAUAAGCAGGCUACAUGUAUCUUUUCCCAUUUUUAUGGGGCUCUUUACUUCCUUUUAUUGAUUUGUAGGAGCUCUGUGUAUAGUAAAGGUAUUAAUUCGGUCCAUCAUAUCAUUUGCAAAUAAUUUUUCUCCAGUUCUUUAUUUCUGCGUAAAUGUCAUUUGUGAUCUUUUGCCAUAGGAAAUUUAAAAUUAUAUAUUGUAUCAAGAUAAUCUUUGGGUAAGAAAAUUCCUCGUUCCAAGAUUAUGAAAGUAUUCAUCUGUGUUUUCACCGAGUACAUUUCUGGCUUUGUUUGAUGCAUCUGUAUGUCGAUAAUAAGGAAUCAGGUAAAGAUAUAACUGAAUUGUUCUUCUUGCAAAUCCAUUAUUUUAUCAUAAUUUGUUAUAUAAUCCAUGCUUUCUAUCGGUUAUUUGAAAUGUCAUCUUUUCUUUAUAAUAAGUAACCAUAUUCUUAGGUCUAUUUCACUGAUCUGUCUAUUCCAGCACCUAGGCCAUGCUGUUUUACUUACAGUGAAAGCUAUUAUACCAAUCUAUCUAGAUGGUAUUUGUUGCCAUAAAUCCUCGAUUAGUGAGUCACCUCUGUGUUUGGGAAUUAAUGGAUGAUUGGAAAAUUUUUAAGUUAUAUGUAAUCAUUAAUUGGAAAGGCCGAGUGAGAUCAAGAAUUUUCUGUAAAUGGGAAUCGGCAAGUGUGUUAGAGGUAGCUCCCUAGAAGGACCAGAAUGGUAGAAGGAGAACCAUCACUUCUUGGCAGAGCAGGACACCUGGCACAGUGUCAGGCUUUGUACUUAGAUCCAACGUAUUUCCCCACGCUAGAUUCACUUAGCAACCAGUGUGUUGGAUGGCAAGCUGGUGGGCUUUGCCCUCUUGAUAGUGAAUGCUGUCUCUGCCACCUACUAGGUGUGCGAUCUUAGGUAAGUCACUUAACCAAUCUGCAUUCCGAGACUCAUGGCAGCUAUCCAAUAUGAUUGUUAUAAAGAUUAAACAAUACAUUUAAAUGCACUCUGAAAGUGAUCAUAUUGAAAUAUUGAUCGUCAUUAUUUUUACUUCUACUACUGUUGGGGAGGGAUGCUUCCCUCCCAUGUCUUCAUGCUUGUGCCCAUUCACCUGCCUCCUGGCCUUGCUGCUUCUCAUGAGACAGAGUUCUCCAAGGAAGCGCUGCUAUCAGGACAGUCAGACUCAGAGGCCACCUGUUGACCUCCUUUGAUGAUGGAUGGGAUUGCUACUUGCAAUGUGAUGGACACUCCAGGAAUCUCCCUUCUGAUCCGCCUCUUUCGGGAUACUGCUACUGCUGGCUUCCACAGUUAGGUCAGGGUUGUGCUCUACCUAACAAGCCUUCCUUCAUCCUCUCUUUUUCCUCUAAAAACAUUCUUAAUGUGUUAGUACCAUGAUUUUUAUUUUCUUGCAAGGGAUGUCUUGGUGGUGGAUUAGGAGGUCUGUUUGGCCUUAAGUCUCAACCGCAGGCUCCAACGCAGCUUAACCAGCGAGCAUCUGUUGGGGGCAAUUGGGAAAUAACAAUACAGUGGUAAUUUGAUUGCUAUUCCUUCUGUGUUUUUCGACUCACUCCCCUUGUGUGUUAUUACACACAAUCAAACCUCAUGGGAGGAGGACCGAUUGACAGGGGAUUUGGGCAUUCCUAGUUCUCCAGCACAAAUACCAUCCUGACCGUCAAACCCUCACCUCUCUAACCUCUGACCUCUAUCAAUGACCAAUCCUUAGCAUGGAUCAAUUACUCCCAUAAGGAGGAUAUUCUGCACAGUACCCAUAGUAAGAGUUCAUAAUAACAAACCCAUGUUUGUUAUUAUGAUUGCUACUGCUUUUAGUUGCUACUGAGCAUACAGAAAGCACAGAAGUGGUGUGCUCUGUGAAAGAGGGUAGCUCAGUGCCCAGGUCUCCAUCAUUGUAACCUUGGCCUUCUGCCUGACUCCUUGCCCUUCAUAUGGUCUUCUCUCUGGCCCCUCAGGCCUGGGACUGAAUACCUGGCUCUCCCUUGAUCAUCUGCCGUCUGAAUCCAGCCCAUUUUUAAACCAGUCCCUGCCUUUCCUUCUUGGGUUUGCCUGUGUGCCUCUGCCUUUUAUCUCCAUUUCUCAGGCAGCUUGCCCUGGUCAAUAAAAGAAAGCUGAAUGACUGUUCAAGGCAUCCUGGGUCAGAACAGAAAGGUGAGAGCUUCAAGGCCAUCAGGGAGUUCUGUGAGGUGCAGGCAUGCUGUAAAUGGUAGGCCUGGGGACUCUGACAACUGCACGGCCUGCUCUUAUUAUAAGAAGGCUGCUGCAAUCCUCAGGCAAUGUCCAAUCAUUAGUUUAAUGAGCAUUUACAUUUAUUGAAUAUGUGUGCCACAUGCUGGGAAUAAGAGGUGGGCAAGACAGACGUGAUUCUUUCUUUCCUUCUUUUUUUUUUUUUUUUUUUGAGUCAGGGUCCUGCUGUGUCACCUAGGCUGGAGGGCCGUGGCAUGCUCUCGUGGCUCACUGCAGCCUCAACCUCCUGGGCUCAGGCGAUCCUCCCACCUCAACCUCCCAAGUAGCUGGGACUACAGGCCUUCACCACCAUGCCCAGAUAUGUUUUGUAUUUUUUGUAGAGAUGGGGUUUUGCCAUGUUGUCCAGGCUGGUCUUGAACUCCUAGGCUCAAGCAAUCUGCCCAUAUCAGCCUCCCAAAGUGCUGGGAGUAUAAGUGUGAGCCACUGUGCCCAGCCCAGACAUGAUUCUUAGGAACUUAAGAAUGAUUCAAGGAACUUACAGUCCAAUGAGAGAGACAAAUGCCAUCAAAACUAAUGAAUGAAAUGACCCACUGUGGCCACUGCUGUCCAGGUAAAACAGGGUGCUGAGAUCAAGACCCAAGGGGCUGGCAUGGAGGCCCACUUUAGAUUUGAUAUCAGGGAUGGCCUGAAUCUGAAUCUCUUAAUCCAGCUUUCAAUAUGAACAGUUUUUUCUCAUCCCAUAAAUAUUUGCAAAGAUUCCCACCAGCUUUUCCUACAUUUGUGAAUUUUCUCAUGACAAAAGAAAAAAAAAUCACAUGAGUCAGAGAAACCUGAAAAAUAAAGCGUCGCUGCUCCCAGUCAUAUUUUCCUCUUCUUUUGCCCUUUGACACCUUUUACUUGAUUGCUUUUAGGCCUAGAUUAAUUUUGUCUGGCCUGAGACCCAUGCUAAUUUGCAUGGCUAUUCUGUAUACGGGUCAGAUGCACGAAGACAGCAGGCUAGCCUGAAUUCACAGACCGAUUCACAUCCAUCAAGUGGCCCUGAGCUCAAUGUACUCACUGCAGAAGAAUGGAGGAUAAUGAAAAAUCCUACCACGACCUAAAAUCCUGACUCACCAGGGUUGCCCUGUGGUCAAGCUUAUGGGUAAACCACUCCAUCAUCCUUAUGUUCUACUUGUCAAACACUUGUGGGAUUCCAUUUUGGGCUUUGGACAUGUAAUUAUGGUUCCAUUGUUUCCAAAGCCAGACUUAAGCCUCAGAUUAUAUAAUUAAUUGUGAGUGGGUGGAGUGCCUUCUUGUAUUUUACACUCUCGUCUAUGAUGUUAACACAAAUCCUUGUUUCGUUCCUUAAUACCACAUAUUGCUGAGCCACACGACUACACAAAAUGCACGUUAGUGUUGUCGUAUUUGUUGAUGUUGUGAAUGGGUGACUGGAAGACUUGCUUAAACUGGAAAGUCUGUUUUUUUCCUGUGUUUGUUGACAUAGUCCACAAUUCUUUUAGUCUCCAGAAGUGUCCGUUUAUUCAUUCAUUCAUUCAACAAAUAUUUAUUUUAGGCCUAUCAUGCAUGAGGAACUAUGCUAAAUGCAAGGUAAAAACCUUGGUCUCUAGCCUCAAAAUCACAUAACAAAGAUGGUGCCCAUCGUGAGAUGCGAUGUGGUGGGUUGCUGUAUGUGAAUCACCUGGACAGCAUUCUAAAGUCAUUAGUGAGCCAGGCACAGUGGCUCCCAUCUGUAAUCCCAAUGCUUUGGAGGCCAAGGCAUGAGGGUCACUUGAGGCCAGGAGUUUGAAAUCAGCAUGGGCAACAUAGCAAGACGCUGUCUCUACAAAACACUUUAUUUUAAAAUUAGCCAGGCAUGGUGGCAUGCACCUGUAGUCCCAGCUACUCAGGAGGCUGAGGCAGGAGGAUAACUUGAACCCAGGAGUUUGAGGCUGCAGUGAGCUGUCAUCAUACCACUACACUCCAGCCUGGGUGACAAAGUGAGACCCUAUCUAUAAAUAAUAACAAUAAUAAUAAUAAAAGUCAUAUAUGCCUGCCCAUCCCACCCCAAACUCAUCAUCUGAGAUUCUGAUUUGACAGGUCCAGAGGGAAGUCCUGGCAUGUGGAUUUUGAAAAAACUGUAAUCAGAAUUACAUCCUUGGGUUAUGAACCACAGGUCUAGUCGUCUUCCCAGAACUCUGCAGAACUCAGCUGCUUGCUGGGGAUGUAUAGCCAUGAGCUUCUUUGAACCAAGCUGGACAGUCAGAAGGCUGACAGUGCCUGAGUUGGGCUGGUGGUAAUCCUGGGCUCCCGGCCUUGAGAACCUGCCCUGUGUGAGAGACUGGGCCCAGUCCUAGGGUCAGGCCUGCUCUGGUCACCUAUUCUGAUACAGUUUCGAUCUUUGUGUCCACCAAAUCUCAUGUUGAAAUAUGAUCCCCAGUGUUGGAGGUGGGGCCUGGUGGGAGGUGUUUGGGUCAUGGGAACAGAUCCCUUAUGAAUGUCUUGGUACUGCCCUUGCGGUAAUGAGUGAGUUCUUGCUUUGUUAGUUUCUGUGAGAUCUGAUUGUUACAAAGGGCCUGGCAGCUCCCUCCCCUCUGUCUCUUGCUCUCUGUCACCAUGUGACACACCAGCUCCCCUUUCUCUUCUGCCAGGAUUGGAUGCUCCACGAAGCCCUCACCAGAACAGAUGCUGGCACCAUGCUUCCUGUACAGCCCACAAACUGCAAGCCAAAUAAACUUCUUUUCCUUGUAAAUUACCCAGCUUCAGUAUUCCUUUAUAGCAAUGCAAACAGACUAGUACAAUUCCCACGCCAACUCUAGACAGGAGCAUCUUUGCUGUUCUUCAUCCUGGGCUGUUUUGGGCCCCCUAUGCUCAACUUACCUGACCUCUGAACUUAACUCAUGACCUUUACUUUGGCCUCUAAAACCUCACCUUCUGGUGUUGUCUCUGCAGUGACACCUCAUGUGUCUCUUGUUCUCCUUCUUAGCCAAGUGAGC
rnacentral:lncRNA from 1 species